rnacentral:tRNA from 1 species
GGCGGAUGUAGCCAAGGGGAUCAAGGCAGG